AGUAAAAGUCGUAACAAGGUUUCCGUAGGUGAACCUGCGGAAGGAUCAUUAAUUGAACAAACAUGCUUCUCGGCGUGACGUUUCAAACCCCACCUGUGUAUCUUACCUGUUGCUUCCGUGCCGCACAUACUGUCAUGGUGUGCUUCAGGGUCCGGUCUACCGAGUACUCGGGACCCUGGGGAGUCCGCACGGGAGGGAUAACCCCAAACUCUUGCCGUUGAAUGCCUUCUGUCUGAACUGUAGUACACGAAAAGUAAAAACUUUCAACAACGGAUCUCUUGGUUCUCGCAACGAUGAAGAACGCAGCGAAAUGCGAUAAGUAGUGUGAAUUGCAGAAUUCCGUGAAUCAUCGAAUCUUUGAACGCACAUUGCGCCCCCUGGUAUUCCGGGGGGCAUGCCUGUCCGAGCGUCACUAAAAUGAACUCAAGCUGGACUGAAAUCUUGCUUGGUAAUGGAGGAUGAGUUUGCCUUGUUUCGCGGUCUCCCCUCCCAAAGUCAACGGCGGAAAGCCCCUGGCAGUCGGUGUAGUAGUUUAUCGUUCGCCGACCAUCCAGUGGUGUUCCAGCCCACUAACCCCCACAAUUCUCUUGAUUGACCUCGGAUCAGGUAGGGAUACCCGCUGAACUUAAGCAUAUCAAUAAGCGA
rnacentral:rRNA from 1 species